rnacentral:rRNA from 1 species
UACGUAGGGUGCAAGCGUUGUCCGGAAUUAUUGGGCGUAAAGAGCUCGUAGGCGGUCUGUCGCGUCUGCUGUGAAAACUCGGGGCUUAACCCCGGGCCUGCAGUGGGUACGGGCCGGCUGGAGGCAGGCAGGGGAGAAUGGAAUUCCCGGUGUAGCGGUGAAAUGCGCAGAUAUCGGGAGGAACACCGGUGGCGAAGGCGGUUCUCUGGGCCUGUACUGACGCUGAGGAGCGAAAGCGUGGGGAGCGAACAGG